GCUCGCGAGUACUGUCCGCCAUGUUUGGGCAGUUUGGAUGCAAACUAAACAAUGGAUUAUUUACCAAGAGAUAUGGAUGUAUGAACUCAUUUCAAUAAAACACUUCUGGUAAGCAUCGUUGAGCAUGUCUUUUUAGUAUUUUACUAGCGCAGGUGCUCAUAAGCUCAUAAAUGAACUCGCAAAAUUUCACCUCACGUCUAAGACUUCAGUGAACGCGGCUUUGUGCGAAACCUGAGUAAAAAAAUAAAUAAACUAUAUAUUUUUCAUUUUUGAUCGAAUUGUUGUGUGGGUCUACUCUAGAGUUUUUACUCUGCAGAAAAAUGAUGAGCAACCCAACCCACCAACAGACGAGGAAGAUGAGGAUGAUAAUCAUAGUGUUCCAGCAUAUACAAAGAGAAAGUAACCAAUAGAAGCUGAAGGAAUGGCAGACAUUACUCAGACACCUGUGAACACUGAUCAGUGGUUGGAGUCCAAGACAGUGAAAUCAUCUUUAUUAUACUUCUGACUGAACUAGCAAGGAGCUUUAGGGACAAUGAGAAAGACUCACAAGAAGACACUUUGAAGAAUGCUGGUAAUCAAACCCAACAAGUUUGUCAGACUGUAUCAGAGGCUCACAGGUUCACCAGCGCCUCUUCUUCCUCAGAACACUGAAGAAGAACCAGCUGUCUUCAGCCAUCCUGGUGAACUUCUACCGGUGUGCGAUCGAGAGCAUCCUGACCAGUUGUAUCACAGUCUGGUAUGGAAACUGCUCAGUUGCUGACUGCAA